GAGGAUAUAGCUCAAGUGGUAGAGCUCAUGCUUAGCAUGCACGAGGUCCUGGGUUCAAUCCCCAUUACCUCCU
rnacentral:tRNA from 1 species